rfam:Erinaceus europaeus unplaced genomic scaffold scaffold01280, whole genome shotgun sequence
GCGCUCACUUUGACAGCACGUACACUAAAAGUGGAAUGAUAUAGAGAAGAUUAGCAUAGCCCCUGUGUAAGGAUGACAAACAAAUACAUCUAGCAUUCCAUAUUUAA